rnacentral:rRNA from 1 species
ACGGGUGAGUAACGCGUGGGAAUCUACCCAUCUCUACGGAAUAACGCAUGGAAACGUGUGCUAAUACCGUAUACGUCCUUCGGGAGAAAGAUUUAUCGGAGAUGGAUGAGCCCGCGUUGGAUUAGCUAGUUGGUGGGGUAAAGGCCUACCAAGGCGACGAUCCAUAGCUGGUCUGAGAGGAUGAUCAGCCACACUGGGACUGAGACACGGCCCAGACUCCUACGGGAGGCAGCAGUGGGGAAUAUUGGACAGUGGGCGCAAGCCUGAUCCAGCCAUGCCGCGUGAGUGAUGAAGGCCCUAGGGUUGUAAAGCUCUUUCACCGGUGAAGAUAAUGACGGUAACCGGAGAAGAAGCCCCGGCUAACUUCGUGCCAGCAGCCGCGGUAAUACGAAGGGGGCUAGCGUUGUUCGGAUUUACUGGGCGUAAAGCGCACGUAGGCGGACUAUUAAGUCAGGGGUGAAAUCCCGGGGCUCAACCCCGGAACUGCCUUUGAUACUGGUAGUCUUGAGUUCGAGAGAGGUGAGUGGAAUUCCGAGUGUAGAGGUGAAAUUCGUAGA